UACGUAGGAGGCAAGCGUUGUCCGGAGUUACUGGGCGUAAAGCGCACGCAGGCGGUCCUAUCAGUCUGGGGUGACAGUUCCCGGCCUAACCGGGAAAGUGCUCUGGAAACUGUAGGACUUGAGGCCAGUAGGGGGAUGCGGAAUUCCGGGUGUAGUGGUGGAAUGCGUAGAGAUCCGGAGGAACACCAGCGGCGAAGGCGGCAUCCUGGACUGGUACUGACGCUCAGGAGCGAAAGCGUGGGGAGCGAUCCGG
rnacentral:rRNA from 1 species